rnacentral:rRNA from 1 species
AUGAUUUCAAAAACUUUAUGUGAUAUUCUAGGUUUCCAUGAUCUUGAUGAUUACUCUUUAAAUUUGCACCUUGCGGAUUCCACCAUUAAAAAGCCAAUGGGAAGGACCAAUGAUGUUCUCAUUUUUGCAAAUAGAAAUUUGGUGCCCGUGGAUUUUAUCGUUCUUGAUAUGGAUUGCAAUCUUUCUUGCCCUAUUAUUCUUGGUAGACCUUUCCUUAGAACGAUUGGCGCAAUUUUUGAUAUGAAGGAAGGGAAUAUUAGAUUCCAAUUUCCAGUAAUGAAAGGCAUGGAGCACUUUCCAAGAAAGAAAGUUAAAUUACCUUAUGAAUCUAUCAUGCGGGCUACUUAUGAAUGCCAAAGAUGGCACUACUUAGAUCUACCUUCGCUUUUAUGCCUAGCUAGGGGCGUUGAACGAUAG